GACGAACGCUGGCGGCGUGCCUAAUACAUGCAAGUAGAGCGCAGUUGCGAACGGGUGAGUAACGCGUAGGUAACUGCCUCAUAGCGGGGGAUAACUCUUGGAAACGAUAGCUAAUACCGCAUACUGUGAGAUGGACCUGCGUUGUAUUAGCUAGUUGGUGAGGUAAAGGCUCACCAAGGCCACGAUACAUAGCCGGCCUGAGAGGGUGAUCGGCCCAACUGGGACUGGGACAACGGCCAGAACCCCACGGGAGGGAGCAGUAGGGGAUCAUCGGAAAAUGACGGAAGUCUGAACGAGGCAAGCCGGGGGAGUGAAGAAGGUUUUUGGAUCGUAAAGCUCUGUUGUGAGAGAAGCGGUAACUAAACAGAAAGGGACGGCUAACUACGUGCCAGCAGCCGCGGUAAUUC
rnacentral:rRNA from 1 species